rnacentral:rRNA from 1 species
AUUGCACGCUGGCGGCAGGCUUAACACAUGCAAGUCGAACGAGUGGCGGACGGGUGAGUAAUGCUUGGGAAUCUAGCUUAUGGAGGGGGAUAACUACGGGACACUGUAGCUAAUACCGCGUACAAUAGGAUGAGCCCAAUUGGGAUUAGGUAGUUGGUGAGGUAAAGGCUCACCAAGCGGACGAUCUCUAGCUGGUCUGUGAGGAUGACCCGCCCACCUGGGACUGAUCCCCGGCCCAGACUCCUUCUGGAGGCAGCAGUGGGGAUGUUUCCGCAAUGGGGGCACCCUUACGCAGCCAUGCCGCGUGAAUGAAGAAGGCCUUCGGGUUGUAAAGUUCUUUCGGUAGCGAGGCGUUAACUACAGAAGAAGCACCGGCUAACUCCGUGCCAUCAGCCGCGGUAAUUC